GGAGCAAGCCUGUUAUGACUCAAACCUCCAAAUUGGAGCUAGGGUGGUGUGACUGCUAUUGCUAACCCGACUCUACCAAACUGGACUGCUGAUGUAUUUGUGAAGUAUUUGCUAGAGGAUUGAGCUGCAAUUGAUAACCUGUGAACCGAGCUGCUGAUUUCCAGACAACAACAAUGGGAGUUGCUUCACAGAAUCCUUCUAAACAGGAACCUGACAUGAUUUUCCUUUGAGAGGCUCUACCAGCAACUGACUGAGACAUAUGCUGAGACAGACCCAUGUGGAAGCCUUGGGGGAAAGACUGAAGAAUCAGAAAGGGAUAGCAACCCCAUUGGAAGACCAACAGUUUCAACUAAUGUAGACCCGUGGGAGCUAAUCCCAGACACUAAUCAAGAGCAUACAGGGGCUGAACUGAGGCCCCAGGCACGUAUGUAGAAGACUGCCUUUUCUGACCUCUGUGGGAGAGGCUAUGAAUAAUUUUGUAGAGACUUUGUGCCCCAGAGA